GACAUUUCUCGAGAAGGAUCCUGUGAAAGAAUAUCAAACGCUUUGGUGAAAUCCAAAAAGAUUGCAUCUUUCUUCUGUCUAUCCACAGAGGGUUUUCUGUUGCUCCAUGAAGUGCACUCAAUGCUACCACAUGCUCCUUUCACAAUGUGCAGCUCGACACUAACAGCACCCUGAAGAUAAGAAUCAUACUUUAAAAAAUAAUAAUGAAAAGUAUUAAAGUUAAUGUAUAUGUUACUAUA